rnacentral:rRNA from 1 species
CUGAUGGAUGGACCCGCGGUGCAUUAGCUAGUUGGUGAGGUAACGGCUCACCAAGGCCACGAUGCAUAGCCGACCUGAGAGGGUGAUCGGCCACAUUGGGACUGAGACACGGCCCAAACUCCUACGGGAGGCAGCAGUAGGGAAUCUUCGGCAAUGGACGAAAGUCUGACCGAGCAACGCCGCGUGAGUGAAGAAGGUUUUCGGAUCGUAAAACUCUGUUGUUAGAGAAGAACAAGGAUGAGAGUAACUGUUCAUCCCUUGACGGUAUCUAACCAGAAAGCCACGGCUAACUACGUGCCAGCAGCCGCGGUAAUACGUAGGUGGCAAGCGUUGUCCGGAUUUAUUGGGCGUAAAGCGAGCGCAGGCGGUUUCUUAAGUCUGAUGUGAAAGCCCCCGGCUCAACCGGGGAGGGUCAUUGGAAACUGGGAGACUUGAGUGCAGAAGAGGAGAGUGGAAUUCCAUGUGUAGCGGUGAAAUGCGUAGAUAUAUGGAGGAACACCAGUGGCGAAGGCGACUCUCUGGUCUG